rnacentral:rRNA from 1 species
CUCAACCUUGGAAUUGCAGUCGAAAACUGCUUCGCUAGAGUAUGGUUGGGGAUAGUGGAAUUCCUAGUGUAGGGGUGAAAUCCGUAGAUAUUAGGAGGAACACCAGUGGCGAAAGCGACUAUCUAAGCCAUUACUGACGCUAAGAUGCGAAAGCGUGGGGAGCAAACAGGAUUAGAUACCCUGGUAGUCCACGCAGUAAACGAUGAGUGCUAGUUAUUGGGAUCUUAGAUUUCAGUGGCGAAGCUAACGCGUUAAGCACUCCGCCUGGGGAGUACGGCCGCAAGGCUAAAACUCAAAGGAAUUGACGGGGACCCGCACAAGCAGUGGAGCAUGUGGUUUAAUUCGAUGAUACGCGAAGAACCUUACCAGCUCUUGAAUCCUGAUUACGAUUUUCAGAGAUGGAUUUCUCAGUUCGGCUGGAUCAGUGACAGGUGUUGCAUGGCUGUCGUCAGCUCGUGUCGUGAGAUGUUAGGUUAAGUCCUUCAACGAGCGCAACCCUCAUCCUUAUUUGCCAUCGGGUUAUGCCGGGAACUAUAAGGAAACUGCCAACGACAAGUUGGAGGAAGGUGGGGAUGAUGUCAAGUCAUCAUGGCCCUUAUGGGCUGGGCUACACACAUGCUACAAUGGUGGUUACAACGGGACGCAAUAGAGCAAUCUGGAGCCAAUCCUUCAAAAGCCAUCUCAGUUCGGAUUGGGGGCUGCAACUCGCCCCCAUGAAGUUGGAAUUGCUAGUAAUCGCAGAUCAGAACGCUGCGGUGAAUACGUUCUCGGGUCUUGUACACACUGCCCGUCAAGCCGUGGAAGUUGUUUCUACCCGAAUAUGGUGAGCUAACCUUCGGGAGGUAGCCAUACACGGUAGGGAUAGUAACUAGGGUUAAGUCGUAACAAGGUA